AUGGUGGAAAUCACAGAAGAGAGGAUGAGGGAGUUCGUGGGAUGGGAUACACACAAGCGUGCUCGCCUGCUCGAGAUUGGCUCCUGGUUCGACACCAACGCGGAGAUGCGGGUAGUGGCACAUGCAGUGGUGGAAUGGAUGUCGAAGGAAGAAGGGGGACUAUUCAGGAGGAGGUGCAAGUGCCAUGCGUUGGAGAUCCGUUGUGGGCAAUGGAUCAGCGGAUUCAAUGGAUCCGGCGAGGGCAGGCAAGUGGGCGAUGUUCGUUUCGUUCUCCACCACGCCGCUAGCCCCGAUGAUGAGGGUUUCUGCGAUGAGGGCAGGCAAGGCGGUCCUGGAUCUUCUGGCGCCGGGAUCGGCUACAGCCCCGAUUAUGAUCAACGAGGGCGAAGGGAGCAGAAGAAGGGGGACUCAAGUGCGUGA
rnacentral:rRNA from 1 species